UACGUAGGGUGCAAGCGUUAAUCGGAAUUACUGGGCGUAAAGCGUGCGCAGGCGGUUUUGUAAGUCUGUCGUGAAAUCCCCGGGCUCAACCUGGGAAUGGCGAUGGAGACUGCAAGGCUAGAAUCUGGCAGAGGGGGGUAGAAUUCCACGUGUAGCAGUGAAAUGCGUGAGAGAUGUGGAGGAAUACCGAUGGCGAAGGCAGCCCCCUGGGCCAAUACUGACGCUCAUGC
rnacentral:rRNA from 1 species